rnacentral:rRNA from 1 species
AUUGAACGCUGGCGGAAUGCUUUACACAUGCAAGUCGAACGGUAGAGGGGGCAACCCCUUGAGAGUGGCGAACGGGUGAGUAAUAUAUCGGAACGUGCCCAGUCGUGGGGAUAACGUAGCGAAAGUUACGCUAAUACCGCAUACGAUCUAAGGAUGAAAGCGGGGGAUCGCAAGACCUCGCGCGAUUGGAGCGGCCGAUAUCAGAUUAGGUAGUUGGUGAGGUAAAGGCUCACCAAGCCAACGAUCUGUAGCUGGUCUGAGAGGACGACCAGCCACACUGGGACUGAGACACGGCCCAGACUCCUACGGGAGGCAGCAGUGGGGAAUUUUGGUACGAAUAGGGCGCGAACG